rnacentral:rRNA from 1 species
CCCUUAGAUGUCCUGGGCUGCACGCGCGCUACACUGAUGUGUCCAGUAAGCACCUAACCUCUUCCGAAAGGAACGGGUAACCUUUGCAAAGCACAUCGUGAUGGGGAUAGAUUAUUGCAAUUAUUAGUCUUGAACGAGGAAUUCCUAGUAAGCACAAGUCAUCAGCUUGUGUUGAUUACGUCCCUGCCCUUGGUACACACCGCCCGUCGCUCCUACCGAUUGAAUGUUCCGGUGAGCUCUUCGGACUGCGCGGUCUGCAGUUUCUGCGUUCCGUGCGGAAAGUUGCGCAAACCUUAACAUUUAGAGGAAGGAGAAGUCGUAACA